rnacentral:lncRNA from 1 species
AGACAUCGCUGCGGCCGGGAUAGGGCGCCGCCGUUCUGGCCGGCUUUCUCGGUGCCCUGGAGGACCUGGCCGGCUCCGCGGGAAGCUGUACUCAGAGCGCGCGGCCGCCCUCUGGCAGGGAGGAGUUCGUUGCACUUUUGAGGGUUCUUCACGAAGACAUCCAAUACAUAGAAAACAAGUAACAGCAACAGUAACGAAUUUUUAAAUAUUAAAAUUGCUGGGGAACACGACGGAUCCUGCAGCUGCUCGGCUGUCCCGGUCGUCAGUGACGCUAGGGCUCCGCACCGUACCCUGCAUACCGUAGGUGCUCACGAAACGUUCGUGAGUUCCCUGCUCUGAGGAAACAAGCUUAAAAACUCAGAAUCUAAGGUGUGAGUCUCCGCAAACCUGCUUGUUGGGCAGCGUCCCCCGCCCGGGCUAGCCCUGCACGCCCCACCCCGGAGCCACGCUUCUCCAGCCGGGACCCCUGCCUCCUUCCAGGCUAUUCUCGGAACCGCAGCCAGAGGGAAUUUUUUUUUCCUUUCCUGAAACGUAGAGCAGAUCUGGUUACUCUUCUGCACAACGCCCUAAAAUCUAGGGCCCUUCCCAUCCCUCAGAAUUUACAUCUAAUUCUCAGCUCCCCUCCGGCUUGCUGUAGCCAUCCUGGCUUUUGUUUAGCACAGCACUUACUGUUAGUGACAUUAUAUUGUAUAUUAUUAACAUAUUUGUGUUUUACAUCCCUCACUAGACCCCCAGGAAAGAGGCUUUGAUGUGUUGCCUGCUGCAAGGCUGGCUGCAUAAUUUGUGGAGCUCAGAGAAAAGUGCGGAGCUUCCUUGUUCAAAAAACAGAAAGAAAGUGCCUCUGAGGUCAUAAAAUAUAAAACUUUCUCUUUCCUCUCAGUUUCUCUCUUUUCAUAGUGUUUUUAUGUGUUAUUUAAUAUCAUUCCAAGAAAAAUUUAGAUUUAAAUUGUUAGCAUGAAGUUCACCAUCCAUCUUUACGUUGUGCAAUGCCAGUUUUAAAUACUAAUAUAAGUGCACUGAUCUCAUAUGUGGAAUCACAGAAAUUAUGCAAUUUGUACUUCAUAGCUUAUACAUGCAUAUAGAUUUUGUUUUUACCAGAACCACGCUGGUAAAAACAGAUGCUGCACAAAGUGAACUUGCCCGUUUUCAUCGCACUUUACGUGCACGAAUUCUACCUCUACUCUCGACCUGGGACUCACCGAUGCGUAAGGAAGGACUGAAAAGCAAAAGAACUAUGGACUGGCCUUUUGGCAUGAUCAGGUGUCUAAUAUAAAGAAGUGCAUGAAUAAGAAAAUAUAUGAUAUGAGUGAUGGUUAAUACUGACUGUCAACUUGAUUGGAUUGAAGGAUGCAAAGUAUUGAUCCUGGGUGUGUCUGUGAGGGUGUUGCCAAAGGAGAUUAACAUUUGAGUCAGUGGGCUGGGAAAGUUCGACCCACUGUUAAUCUAGAUGGACACCAUCUAAUCAGAUGCCAGUGCAGCUAGAAAUGUAAAGCAGACAGAAAAAUGCGAAAAGAGAGACUGGCCUAGCCUGCCAGCCUACAUCUUUCUCCCACGCUGGAUGCUUCCUGCCCUCGAACAUCAGACUCCAAGUUCUUCAGUUUGGGACUUGGACUGGCUCUCCUUGUUCCUCAGCUUGAAGACUGCCCAUUGUGGGACUUGUGAUCAUGUGCCAUGAUAAAUAAGCCAGUUUGAGUCACUUGGUCUAAUAUCGAGACCACGAACAUAUUGAUCACAGAAUGUGUUAGGAUAACAGAAGUUCAAGAGGAAAGGACAGUGAGAGACCAUGACUAAAGAAUUACUCCGUGAACAACUCAGGAGGACCAGCUAUGAUUUCACUCUCAUUCAAAAAAGAGAAAUAAUAUUUCUUUCAGCUGCUACCCAUAAAAUAUUUUUGAAUGUGUGUACAAUGUUCAUGCUGUAAUGGCUGCUCUAUCAUGAAGGAUGUGUUGACACCUCGUGGGUGGCUUUUCACAAUCCCCUUGGACACAGAUUGGGGGAUUGACGGCCCCAUCCCCUCAUUUUCCACACCGAGGGGCAGUUGGGAUAUGCAUAAAAUCUUGUUCUCUAGUUAGGACCUGUUGCUAUAAAUCUAGCAUCAAGAGUAUCACUAUUUUCUAAACACUUUGCCAGACAGCCUUCGGAGUAUAAUUUUCUGAAGUUUAUAAAGCAUAACUCAUACACACACCUAGUGACCAUGUUCUGAAGGUAUAUUUAACUCCUGCAUGAGGGAACAGGCAGGAUGAAAGUGGGUUCUAAGGAAGAGACUAGCAUAUAUGAUCAACGGGGAAAAAUGAAGAGUAAGCUUGAAACCGCCUUUGCAAAAAUUAUAACCGAGGAGAUUAUGACAGUGAAGGAGAUCAGACCUAACCGACCCCAUCUUGCUUCUAACCUUUAAGCUGUCCUUGUUCAUUCCUGGGUGUAGGCCGAACUAACUUUGGGAAGGAAUUUGUUCGUGGUUUGACUCUGAAACAAAAAAAUUGAUAAUAGCCCUUUCCCGAAAAGACCGCCUUCUUGCCUGGGGACCAGUCUGCCUUUGCAGGACCAACAAAUUAACUACGAGAUUAGAAAUUACAGUUUAGGGGUCCUGCAGCCUCUGACUCCAAGAGUCUGACCCUCCCCACAUUGCUUCUGGGGAUAACAUCACUAUUAUAAAACCUAAGAUCAGUGCUUGAGAUAUUUUGCAGACCCUGCACUGGAUGGAUCAGCUGACACCACCCAGACCCGUAAUCUGGAUCAACCAGUUCUGCCAUCCCACCCAGGAACAGAAGAUGCAAGAAAAACUCACUUUGACCCUCUAUGAUUCCAUCUCCAACCUGACCAAUCAGUACUCCCCACUUCCCAAGCCCCUGCCUGCCAAAUUAUCUUUAAAAACUCUGAUCCCCGAAUGCUUGGAGAGGCUGAUUUGAGUAACAACACAACUCUGGUCUCCUGCACAGCCAGUUCUGUGUGAACUACCCUUCGCCCAUUGCAAUUCCCCUGUCUUGAUAAAUUGGCUCUGUCGAGGCAGUGGGCAAGGUGAACCCACUGGGCAGUUACAAGACUGCAAAGUUAGAAACAAAACUGGCAAUGCCCCAUGGGUCAAAAAUAAUCAAUUAAUUCAUAACAUUUGACUUGAUUAAGUUUUCUACUGGACAGAAACAAUUUGCAACUUAUCCUUCCUCUACAUUGUUUGACUGCCAUGUCAAUUGUAAGUAUUAGAUCAAAUUUUAAAAUAAUUAUUUUAGAGCUUCAGAUGCACCUUACAUGGGCUUGUUAGAUUGUUAGACACUGCUUAGUGACAUUGAAAGAGGGCACAAUACUUUUUUUGCCUUAUUUCUAAGUUGUGGGUAUCCUUUUCUUAACACUUCUUUUCUGUGAUUCUAUGCAAGACAAUCGUUGAUGAAAUGGGAUUUUCUGGAUGGAAAGUCCGUGUACUUUACUGAAACCUCUUUCUACAGUUCUGUCUUUCAAGUGGGAUUCUGUGAGCUGACUCAUGACAGCUGAGCAUCAUCGGAGAUUGGCUUCAAUGGUCCUCAAUGUGCAGAACAUAAAUAGCAAUUUCUACCAUCAUUCAAUAGCAUUUGUGGGUCCUUUUAUAUGGAGUAUAUAAAAGUAUUUGCAGGUCUUGGUUUAUCUGUCCCCACGUGACAUACCUAUAGAACAGGUAUUUUCAUCCCAGCUACUUAUUAUAAAUAUUUAAUAAGUAGGCUAAUGGUUUGGAAUUCUAUUUCUCUAUUUGCAUGAGUCAAAUAAUAGACCAAAUUCUUUCAAAAAGAGGAGAUGUUAACAUACCAAAAGAAACUGAAACAAGAGCAUUGAACCCACGGUGCCCUUCAGAAACACCUGCCAACAAUGGGGCAGAGUGUCCAGCUGCCUGGACAGUGUGUGCAGGGGCGGGGCCCUUCCUGUUCACAAUGGCUUUGCCUGGCAGUUAAAAUGCAAAUGGAGGGCAGACUGAGAGUGCAUCACCCUCUCACAUCUCAGAGUCUAAAAGGCGGCCUUUCAGUGCCUUCUGUUCAAAUUGCAAAUGCUCUUCCUUUAUCCCCCAAGGCCUGGGAGACAGUUCUGAAUAAUUCUUCCCCAACAAAUUGGCUUUCCUCUUCCCAGCAACAAAAGCCCUUAUUGGUUUUAAAAGUGCAAAGAACAAAUUUUAUUCAAGGGUCUUAAGGCAGAUGAAGGUUCACAGAAACUACAAGGGCAGUUCCAGGGCCUCCACGUACGACCGUGUCCCUAUAACGACUGGUCCUUAUAAGAGGCCAGCAACAGUAUCUUAUUUUCCUGUACAGGCCUGGGAUUCCCAGUAAUUUCUUUGCAUUGGCUUUGUAAGCACAAUUACCCAGAGUUUCCGAGAAUUGGGACAUUUCCAAGAAAUUGCCCAAUGGGUCAGUGGAGUGCUGUCAAAUGAGAUGGACCAUCUUAAAAUCAAAACGUGGGUGGUUUCUGCUCAUUGCUGAGCAUUUCACUUCCAUUCUGAAAAGUCUAAGAACGUCACUCCAGGAGAUACAAUGUCAAGGGCUCCCGCCACUCUUCAUCAUUGCCCAAGUCAUAAGAAUCAUCCCCCAAAUUCCUUCUAUUUCUCCAAGGUAGGGUAACCCAGGGCUGGGUAAGCCUGUUAGGGCAGGUCAGGUUGGCACAUACCGAGGAGGAACUCAGACAGACAGACAGCGCCAGGGGACCAGCGGCACUGUGUGCUCAUCACCACCCUCAGGGAUUCAAGGGCCUUGUCCUGGUACCUGGGUCACCUUCUGAAAUAAGUGCUACUGAGGUUCAUGGCCAAGACCCUUCCAGGAAAUUCAGAAGGAGGUUGGCUUCAGUGGGAAAGUAGUCUGUGACCCAGAAGGUGUUUAUUCAACAAGGUGCAAGCUGACAACAUGUUUCUUUGCUCUGGACACUGGAAUUAAACUCCUAAGAGACCCUA